rnacentral:rRNA from 1 species
UACGUAGGGAGCAAGCGUUGUCCGGAAUUAUUGGGCGUAAAGAGCUCGUAGGCGGUUUGUCGCGUCGAAUGUGAAAUCCCGGGGCUCAACCCCGGGCCUGCAUUCGAUACGGGCAGACUAGAGUUCGGUAGGGGAGUCUGGAAUUCCUGGUGUAGCGGUGAAAUGCGCAGAUAUCAGGAGGAACACCGGUGGCGAAGGCGGGACUCUGGGCCGAUACUGACGCUGAGGAGCGAAAGCGUGGGGAGCAAACAGG